rnacentral:lncRNA from 1 species
AGAGAACUACAAGUCUUUGACUUAAACCACUCAAGCCAGAAAAUGUCCAACUUCAGUUCACCAUCUAAAAUUCCAAAAAUCCAGGAUCCAGAGGCGGACAGGAUCUGUGAAAGACUGCAGCUACUUGCUUACAAAUGCCGUGACCCAGCAGCCAACCAAGCAGAGACGGCCCAACAACUUUGUACAGUGGCCACUGACAUAAUGGCAAUGAUGUCUCGAUGCACCAAGCAAAAUGCUGGACUUCAGCAAACCAUAAAAAUGUUAAGGAAAGAAAGAGAAGAACUGCUGGAAGAGAUCACAAAAGCGAAGGCAGCAAGUGAAGCAAUAGCUGCAACAGCUGCUUUCUGCAAAGAUGGUAAGAUGUUUAAGUUAUAUAAAUUUCAAUU